rnacentral:rRNA from 1 species
UACGUAGGGGGCAAGCGUUGUCCGGAUUUAUUGGGUUUAAAGGGUGCGUAGGCGGUUUAUUAAGUCAGUGGUGAAAUACUCUAGCUCAACUAGAGGGGUGCCAUUGAUACUGAUGAGCUUGAGUACAGAUGAGGUAGGCGGAAUUGACGGUGUAGCGGUGAAAUGCUUAGAUAUCGUCAAGAACACCUAUAGCGAAGGCAGCUUACUAGGCUGUAACUGACGCUGAGGCACGAAAGUGUGGGGAUCAAACAGG